AUCGGCCGAAUUUCGUUGAUGAAAACGGGGGAACCGUAUAUUUUGGGGUGAAUUUCACAGAGCUUCACACCGCCGGUGAGGAGUGCGGCGAAGCGUCUGCGAAUAGGGCAACUGGCAUGCCCGAAUCCGUCAGCUAACCUCGUAGGCCC
rnacentral:sRNA from 1 species